UACGUAGGGUGCAAGCAUUAAUCGGAAUUAUUGGGCGUAAAGGGCGCGUAGGCGGUUCUGCACGUCCGUUGUGAAAUCGCCCGGCUCAACUGGGCGGGGUCAGCGGAUACGGCGGAGCUUGAGCAAGCUAGGGGGCAAUGGAAUUCCCGGUGUAGUGGUGGAAUGCGUAGAUAUCGGGAGGAACACCAGUGGCGAAGGCGGUUGCCUGGGGCUUUGCUGACGCUGAGGCGCGAAAGCGUGGGGAGCGAGCCGG
rnacentral:rRNA from 1 species